GCUAUAGGUAGGGAAGUAAUUCAAUAAGAAACUAGUAGAGAGA
rnacentral:sRNA from 1 species